rnacentral:rRNA from 1 species
GUAGGUGGCAAGCGUUGUCCGGAAUUAUUGGGCGUAAAGCGCGCGCAGGCGGUUCUUUAAGUCUGAUGUGAAAGCCCACGGCUCAACCGUGGAGGGUCAUUGGAAACUGGAGAACUUGAGUACAGAAGAGGAAAGCGGAAUUCCACGUGUAGCGGUGAAAUGCGUAGAGAUGUGGAGGAACACCAGUGGCGAAGGCGGCUUUCUGAUCUGUAACUGACGCUGAGGCGCGAAAGCGUGGGGGAGCAAACAGGAUUAGAUACCCUGGUAGUCCACGCCGUAAACGAUGAGUGCUAAGUGUUAGGGGGUUUCCGCCCCUUAGUGCUGCAGCUAACGCAUUAAGCACUCCGCCUGGGAGUACGGCCGCAAGGCUG